GCCUGACUAGCUCAAUCGGUAGAGCAGUUGACUCUUAAUCAAUUGGUUCAGGGUUCGAGUCCCUGGUCAGGUA
rnacentral:tRNA from 4 species